GACGUAGGGGGCCAGCGUUGUUCGGAAUUACUGGGCGUAAAGGGCUCGUAGGCGGCCAACUAAGUCAGACGUGAAAUCCCUCGGCUUAACCGGGGAACUGCGUCUGAUACUGGAUGGCUUGAAUCCGGGAGAGGGAUGCGGAAUUCCAGGUGUAGCGGUGAAAUGCGUAGAUAUCUGGAGGAACACCGGUGGCGAAGGCGGCAUCCUGGACCGGCAUUGACGCUGAGGAGCGAAAGCCAGGGGAGCAAACGGG
rnacentral:rRNA from 1 species